AAACGAAGUUUAACUUAAGUCACAAAGAGCAUUGAGUAGAAAAUCGAAAGCAUCUUCCAAAGUGCCAGGAAAGAAAACACAAAAAUAAAUUACAAAAUGACCACCCACAGCAACCACAGCUUGCUUUAUCAAUUAAUUAUUAGUUUGAAUUAUUAUCAAAGCAUUUUUAGUUUGCGUUGGUUGAUUAAAGGCAGGUUACUCUAUUAUAUGUUACAUGAUGCUCAUUAUUGGCGUUUUCAUGUCUAUUUAAGACUUCACAUGAAUAGUAGAUGGACUUGGGUAAGGCAUAUCCCUCAUAGAGCAGUGGCCAGAGUACAGGGUAUAAGCAGAGCGACAGAGUAGCGAACAACAACGACAAAGUAAAGCGGAGCAACAGCGCAGAGCAGCAGCAAAGAGCAACGGCAGAGAACAACGACAAUACGGAUAGCAGCGCUCAGCAACAGCACAAACGACCACAGCGUUUAACAACUACAACAAGACGAAGAACGGCAUCCAGCGAAGACACAGACAACCGAAAGAGGAUUAACAGCGACCAACACAAGCAAAGCGAGCGCAUAGAAGCAAUACAUAUCAGCGCACAUCGGAUAGGGAGCGCAGAGCAAAGAAAGCAUAGAAGUGAGCGCAUAACAGCGCACAGCCGAGAGCGCAGCUGCGGCGUACAGUAGCAGUGUUGCCAGCUUAGCCUAUUUAAGGCUAGAUCAAGUCAUACAUACAUAUAUAUUCUUGAGCAGCGUUAUGAAGUAAUCCGAUUUAACUAUGUGUGUUGUUUGUCUAUAUAUCUAUUCGUAUGUCUGUCUGUAUAUCUGGCUCUCUGUCUCUCUGUCUCUCCGUAAGAUCAUUUAAGCUGUCUAUAUUUAUGCAGUAGUAUUCAGUCUGCAUUUAUAUUUGAGUAAAACGAAGCUAGAUUGCAGCAGCAGAGAGUAUUCCCAUUGGUCACUCAAACGACCACGACCUCUACCUGUCGUCGGGCUCAACAUUUGAGCGCAACUUCGGCUUUAAGUGAGUCUCCAUAUAUAAAGGGCAGCUGCUGCAGCAAUUCUUCAGUCGCCCAGGCCUAGUGGGGGUCAGUCGUGCAGUGCAGUAAAGUGAAGUGAAGUGAAGUGAAGUGUGUAGAAAUACAUAUUUAGUGAUCGUUCAGCUAAGCAUUAAUGACCUAGAGGAAAUCCAUGGAGGAGGAAUUUAGUAGAAAUUCCUGGAGGAAAUACUUAGAAGAAUUUCUUCGAGGAAAUACUUAAUGGAAACUUGAACAUUCUUUCUGUUACAUCGUGGGAAUCAUCAACAAGUGGCCAUCACCUCGUCGCCAAUAGCUGGAUCCUGGAGCAAAGCUGAGGCAUUGGCGUUUUCAAAUUCACUUACGCUUGUUUUAGACAUUGGUUUAACACAGAUUUUAUAAUAUAUUUAUAUUACAAUGAAAAACAUUAUACAUUAUAAUGGGUAAUAUAAAAUAAUGAAUGA